CAGGCGUUACACAUGCUAGUCGAGCGGUAACAGGGGGUGCUUGCACCCCGCUGACGAGCGGCGGACGGGUGAGUAAUGCAUAGGAAACUGCCCAGUAGUGGGGGAUAGCCCGGGGAAACCCGGAUUAAUACCGCGUACGCCCUUCGGGGGAAAGCAGGGGAUCUUCGGACCUUGCGCUAUUGGAUGUGCCUAUGUCGGAUUAGCUAGUUGGUGGGGUAAAGGCCUACCAAGGCGACGAUCCGUAGCUGGUCUGAGAGGAUGAUCAGCCACAUCGGGACUGAGACACGGCCCGAACUCCUACGGGAGGCAGCAGUGGGGAAUAUUGGACAAUGGGGGCAACCCUGAUCCAGCCAUGCCGCGUGUGUGAAGAAGGCUUUCGGGUUGUAAAGCACUUUCAGUGAGGAGGAAAACUCUGCGACUAAUACUCGUAGGGCUUGACGUUACUCACAGAAGAAGCACCGGCUAACUCCGUGCCAGCAGCCGCGGUAAUACGGAGGGUGCAAGCGUUAAUCGGAAUUACUGGGCGUAAAGCGCGCGUAGGUGGUUUGAUAAGCGAGAUGUGAAAGCCCCGGGCUUAACCUGGGAACGGCAUUUCGAACU
rnacentral:rRNA from 1 species